rnacentral:rRNA from 1 species
UGGGGAAUUUUGGACAAUGGGGGAAACCCUGAUCCAGCCAUCCCGCGUGUGCGAUGAAGGCCUUCGGGUUGUAAAGCACUUUUGGCAGGAAAGAAACGUCGCGGGUUAAUACCCCGCGAAACUGACGGUACCUGCAGAAUAAGCACCGGCUAACUACGUGCCAGCAGCCGCGGUAAUACGUAGGGUGCAAGCGUUAAUCGGAAUUACUGGGCGUAAAGCGUGCGCAGGCGGUUCGGAAAGAAAGAUGUGAAAUCCCAGAGCUUAACUUUGGAACUGCAUUUUUAACUACCGGGCUAGAGUGUGUCAGAGGGAGGUGGAAUUCCGCGUGUAGCAGUGAAAUGCGUAGAUAUGCGGAGGAACACCGAUGGCGAAGGCAGCCUCCUGGGAUAACACUGACGCUCAUGCACGAAAGCGUGGGGAGCAAACAGGAUUAGAUACCCUGGUAGUCCACGCCCUAAACGAUGUCAACUAGCUGUUGGGGGCCUUCGGGCCUUGGUAGCGCAGCUAACGCGUGAAGUUGACCGCCUGGGGAGUACGGUCGCAAG